UACGUAGGGUGCAAGCGUUAUCCGGAAUUAUUGGGUCGUAAAGAGCUCGUAGGCGGUUUGUCGCGUCUUGCUGUGAAAUUUCGGGGCUCAACCCCGAACUUGCAGUGGGUACGGGCAGACUAGAGUGUGGUAGGGGAGACUGGAAUUCCUGGUGUAGCGGUGAAAUGCGCAGAUAUCAGGAGGAACACCGAUGGCGAAGGCAGGUCUCUGGGCCAUAACUGACGCUGAGAAGCGAAAGCAUGGGGAGCGAACAG
rnacentral:rRNA from 1 species